GUUNCUNGGAANACUGGGCGUAAGGGCACGNUAGGCGGNUGUAAUCGGGUUUGAAAGNGAAAGUCGCCAAAAACUGGCUGGAAUGCUCUCGAAACCAAUUCACUUGAGUGAGACAGAGGAGAGUGGAAUUUCGUGUGUAGGGGUGAAAUCCUAAGAUCUACGAAGGAACGCCAAAAGCGAAGGCAGCUCUCUGGGUCCCUACCGACGCUGGAGUGCGAAAGCAUGGGGAGCGAACGGGAUUAGAUACCCUGGUAGUCCACAA
rnacentral:rRNA from 1 species